rnacentral:lncRNA from 10 species
GUUUCGUUCCUGUUGCCCAGGCUAGAGUGCAAUGGCACAAUCUCGGCUCACUGCAACCUCUGCCUCCUGGGUUCAAGCGAUUCUCCUGCCUCAGCCUCUCCAGUAUCUGGGAUUACAGGGCCGUACCACCACGCCAGCUAAUUUUUGUAUCUUAGUACAGACAGGGUUUCACCAUCUUGGCCAGGCUAUUCUCAAACUCCUGACCUCAAGUGAUCCGCCCGCUUCAGCCUCCCAAGGUGCUGGGAUUACAGGCAUGAGCCACCGAGCCCGGCCUAUCUCUCUAAAUUUUAAAAGCGUCCUUUCCUGCCCUAGAUUUCAAAAAGCCAUCAGUACCGUCAUGUGAAGUUCCUCCGUUACACUCAUUGUCAGGUACCUGCUCAGCAUGUAUUACACUUCUUUUAGGAGAAUUCCUGAUUUCACUGCCUCUCCCCCUGCAGCUAUGGGUUCUAGGGAAUGCUAACUCCACCCUGAUCCCAGGGGCAAUGGUGGCAAUCUCCAUUUGGUUUAAGCCAACUUCAACAUUCGAUGACAGGAGAAAAUAUGUGACUUGGACCUUUCUUAGAAAUCUGAAUCUUCUCCCUCCUACUCAACAUAAGCAAAAAAGGAUGAGGCCCCAAUUACACUGACAGCCACCUUAUGAUGUUAUUAAUGGCAGAGAAGACAGAAAGAAGAGGUUCCUGGUGUCAUCAUUUAGCCAUUGGAUCAAUCAAAUGUUAAGCCAGACC